rnacentral:lncRNA from 1 species
GUUCGCUAUUAUGUAUCUACACUUAUCGCCCUUCUAUUAGCCAUGUUUAACGAGUAACAGAGCUCUGACUGAGCACCCCAGUAGAUGGCAGUAGGUGGCAGUGGGGAAACAGAGUUGCUCUUAAAUACACACACUUCUUAUCAGUACAUCCCACAGUGGGUUGUGGGAAAUGGAUUCAUAUAUUGGUAAUCUGCGGUAAACCAUAGACAUGUAAACGGCAUGUUGACCGGAAUUGUUAGUUUAAGCGUUUAACACGUCCUGGUUCCAAAGCCAAAUUAAUGAAAAAUGAUUGGAUUAUCGCAAAAAAAAAGUAAUAUAAUGUUGAGCGAAACAAAAUGUUUGUGGAAAGACCCCGUUUGUGCUGGACCAAGUUCCCCUAGGCUUGAGUGUAAAGAACCUGUUUGUGCUGGCCCAAGUUCCCCUAGGCUUGAGUUUGAAGAACCUGUUUGUGCUGGCCCAAGUUCCCCUAGGUUUGAGGCCGGUUUCACAAACAUUAGCACUCUGCAUGUGGCGGCGCAGCUGGAGCUUCACACAGGUGGGUUGGUGCGCAGUUGAUUGGGGCUCUUAUCCCAUUGGGCCUAUAGAAGUCCCGGCCCUUUAAAAGCGUCCGGGAUUCCAUCAUACGGGGCUUGCUUUGGGGAUUGCGCAUUUCUGUUGUCUGCCACCACUCGUUGCCGCUAGGUCCAGCCUCGGGCUUUGCCCGCGCCACUACCAUCAUGUUCGCUACUCACCGGAGUGAGAGACCGGGAGAGAGUGCCAGGCUGUUGAGGCCUGUUCGCGAAGCCUUGUGUUUUUGCUUGUUACAUUAUUUUUGAG